rnacentral:rRNA from 1 species
GCGGCAACAGCUCAAAUUUGAAAUCUGGCCUUCUUUGGGGGUCCGAGUUGUAAUUUGCAGAGGGUGCUUUGGUGUUGACAGCGGUCUAAGUUCCUUGGAACAGGACGUCACAGAGGGUGAGAAUCCCGUACGUGGUCGCUUGCCUCCGCCGUGUAAAGCCCCUUCGACGAGUCGAGUUGUUUGGGAAUGCAGCUCUAAAUGGGAGGUAAAUUUCUUCUAAAGCUAAAUACUGGCCAGAGACCGAUAGCGCACAAGUAGAGUGAUCGAAAGAUGAAAAGCACUUUGGAAAGAGAGUCAAACAGCACGUGAAAUUGUUGAAAGGGAAGCGCUUGCAGCCAGACUUGCCCGUAGUUGCUCACCCGGACUUUUGCCCGGGGCACUCUUCUGCGGGCAGGCCAGCAUCAGUUUGGGCGACCGGAUAACGGCCUCUGUCAUGUAUCUUCCUUCGGGAUGACCUUAUAGGGGAGGCGUAAUGCGGCCAGCCCGGACUGAGGUCCGCGCUUCGGCUAGGAUGCUGGCGUAAUGGCUGUAAGCGGCCCGUCUUGAAACACGGACCAAGGAGUCUAACAUCUAUGCGAGUGUUUGGGUGUCAAGCCCGGGCGCGUAAUGAAAGUGAACGGAGGUGGGAACCCUCUCGGGGGCGCACCAUCGACCGAUCCUGAUGUCUUCGGAUGGAUUUGAGUAAGAGCAUAGCUGUUGGGACCCGAAAGAUGGUGAACUAUGCUUGAAUAGGGUGAAGCCAGAGGAAACUCUGGUGGAGGCUCGCAGCGGUUCUGACGUGCAAAUCGAUC